rnacentral:rRNA from 1 species
UACGUAGGGGGCGAGCGUUGUCCGGAUUUAUUGGGCGUAAAACGCUUGUAGGUGGCUACGUCAAGUCGGACGUGAAAUCUCCCGGCUUAACUGGGAGGGGUCGCUCGAUACUGGCGAGCUCGAGGCAGGUAGGGGGAAGCGGAAUUCCCGGUGUAGUGGUGGAAUGCGUAGAUAUCGGGAGGAACACCAGUGGCGAAGGCGGCUUCCUGGACCUGUUCUGACACUGAGGAGCGAAAGCGGUGGGAGCGGAUC